CACUCCUACGGGAGGCAGCAGUGGGGAAUAUUGCACAAUGGGCGCAAGCCUGAUGCAGCCAUGCCGCGUGUAUGAAGAAGGCCUUCGGGUUGUAAAGUACUUUCAGCGGGGAGGAAGGCGAUAAGGUUAAUAACCUUGUUGAUUGACGUUACCCGCAGAAGAAGCACCGGCUAACUCCGUGCCAGCAGCCGCGGUAAUACGGAGGGUGCAAGCGUUAAUCGGAAUUACUGGGCGUAAAGCGCACGCAGGCGGUCUGUCAAGUCGGAUGUGAAAUCCCCGGGCUCAACCUGGGAACUGCAUUCGAAACUGGCAGGCUAGAGUCUUGUAGAGGGGGGUAGAAUUCCAGGUGUAGCGGUGAAAUGCGUAGAGAUCUGGAGGAAUACCGGUGGCGAAGGCGGCCCCCUGGACAAAGACUGACGCUCAGGUGCGAAAGCGUGGGGAGCAAACAGGAUUAGAUACCCCUGUAGUCCC
rnacentral:rRNA from 1 species